rnacentral:rRNA from 1 species
GAUGAACGCUGGCGGCGUGCUUAACACAUGCAAGUCGAACGAAGCAAUUUUAACAGACUGGAGAGCUUGCUCGAAGGAAAGAUAAAAUUGACUGAGUGGCGGACGGGUGAGUAACGCGUGGGUAACCUGCCUCACACUGGGGGAUAACAGUUAGAAAUGACUGCUAAUACCGCAUAAGCGCACAGUACUGCAUGGUACGGUGUGAAAAACUCCGGUGGUGUGAGAUGGACCCGCGUCUGAUUAGCUAGUUGGUGAGGUAACGGCCCACCAAGGCAACGAUCAGUAGCCGGCUUGAGAGAGUGAACGGCCACAUUGGGACUGAGACACGGCCCAAACUCCUACGGGAGGCAGCAGUGGGGAAUAUUGCACAAUGGGGGAAACCCUGAUGCAGCGACGCCGCGUGAGUGAAGAAGUAUUUCGGUAUGUAAAGCUCUAUCAGCAGGGAAGAUAAUGACGGUACCUGACUAAGAAGCCCCGGCUAACUACGUG